GAUGGGAAUCACUGUACUCCUUAGUCAUCUAUAUAACAGUAUUCUGAAAAACUUCUAGGCCCUUAUCUAGCCAUAGUUUCUUAAAUGAGGAAAGGAGGUCUGUAGCUAGGAAUAAAAGUAAGGAAAAGACUAGCCGGUGAAUGUGCAGGGGUAAAAAUCAUAAUGUGUAGGUAAGCCUACUUUAUUUUGUCGCUAUAAAUAUGUAGCACCUCUCCUUUGUUUGCCUUCUAGGGAAUGUCUAGCCAUGGUGCUGGCUGGUCAACAAUGGCCCUUCCCACUUAGAUUUCUAGAGGGAGUGGUUGAGAGAGGUACUCUUUAUUGAGGUUAGUGCUUUAAGAAGAUGGAAGAAGCUUUCUAUUGAAAGAGGUUGGUAUAGAUUGCUUGUCCACAUUUCUUCCCAAUUUACCUGUAUUCUGAAAUUCUAUUAGUAAGUAUUCACUAUUAGGCACCCCACAUUAUUAGACAAUUGUCAUGGUAAUUAUCAUAA
rnacentral:lncRNA from 1 species